CACACCAAGAGAAGACACGAGCACAAAUAUGGGAGUGAACAUCGCUGAAUAUAAAAAGUCUGGUGUACAAUAGUUAAUAAAUCAGCAUGGACCCUACCAACAAAGGAAGAAGCUGUGCAAGGUCUCUGCCCACCUUUUCCAUGGUCAGGGUCCAUCAUAACCUCUGUUAGGAGAAUCUGGUUGUGCAAUGGAGCAUCCGAAGCUGUCCGUCCCUGGCUCUCUGUACAGUCCAAUAAUAACCUUAACAUUAGAAGAAACUUUAGAAAAUUUCCACUGAGUCAUGAGUCAACUAAAUAACAAAACAAGAUGCCCCUGUGCAUUUUGGGGAGCUUCAUCUAUGGCCAUUCAUGUUUCUGACCCACAUCUCUGAUUAAAAAAAAAAAGACAAAAUACUGAUAUGCAAAGGUUGCCUACACCUGUGAAAACUAAUUUGCUUGCAAAGUGUUACAGCUAUAGAUUUUUUUCCCUUUCCCUCAAAUAAUUUUCUUUGCUUUUUGUUAUGAACCCACCCUAGUCAAUGGAAGCAUC
rnacentral:lncRNA from 1 species